rnacentral:rRNA from 1 species
GGGUUGUGAGGUUAAGCGACCAAGCGUACACGGUGGAUGCCCUGGCAGUCAGAGGCGAUGAAGGGCGUGCUAAUCUGCGAUAAGCGCCGGUAAGGUGAUAUGAACCGUUAUAACCGGCGAUACCCGAAUGGGGAAACCCAGUGUGACUCGUCACACUAUCAUUAACUGAAUCCAUAGGUUAAUGAGGCGAACCGGGGGAACUGAAACAUCUAAGUACCCCGAGGAAAAGAAAUCAACCGAGAUUCCCCCAGUAGCGGCGAGCGAACGGGGAGGAGCCCAGAGCCUGAAUCAGCAUGUGUGUUAGUGGAAGCGUCUGGAAAGGCGCGCGAUACAGGGUGACAGCCCCGUACACAAAAGCGCAUGUGCUGUGAGCUCGAUGAGUAGGGCGGGACACGUGGUAUCCUGUCUGAAUAUGGGGGGACCAUCCUCCAAGGCUAAAUACUCCUGACUGACCGAUAGUGAACCAGUACCGUGAGGGAAAGGCGAAAAGAACCCCGGCGAGGGGAGUGAAAAAGAACCUGAAACCGUGUACGUACAAGCAGUGGGAGCCCCACCACCAAAGCAUUCUCUGGUGUUGAAGGCCCUGCAAAGCAGCAUCGCGGUGGCGGAGCGUCGUUUGCGACGCCCAACACACAAAACAAGCGGUGAGUGCUUUGGGGUGGGGUGACUGCGUACCUUUUGUAUAAUGGGUCAGCGACUUAUAUUCUGUAGCAAGGUUAACCGUAUAGGGGAGCCGGAGGGAAACCGAGUCUUAAUUGGGCGUUAAGUUGCAGGGUAUAGACCCGAAACCCGGUGAUCUAGCCAUGGGCAGGUUGAAGGUUGGGUAACACUAACUGGAGGACCGAACCGACUAAUGUUGAAAAAUUAGCGGAUGACCUGUGGCUGGGGGUGAAAGGCCAAUCAAACCGGGAGAUAGCUGGUUCUCCCCGAAAGCUAUUUAGGUAGCGCCUCGUGAAUUCAUCUCCGGGGGUAGAGCACUGUUUCGGCCAGGGGGCCAUCCCGGCUUACCAAUCCGAUGCAAACUGCGAAUACCGGAGAAUGUUAUCACGGGAGACACACGGCGGGUGCUAACGUCCGUCGUGAAGAGGGAAACAACCCAGACCGCCAGCUAAGGUCCCAAAGUCAUGGUUAAGUGGGAAACGAUGUGGGAAGGCCCAGACAGCCAGGAUGUUGGCUUAGAAGCAGCCAUCAUUUAAAGAAAGCGUAAUAGCUCACUGGUCGAGUCGGCCUGCGCGGAAGAUGUAACGGGGCUAAACCAUGCACCGAAGCUGCGGCAGCGAACGUAUCACCCAAGACAACUUUACACAGUUGACGACUGACGGAGCGAAGCGACGUCAACGCGUUUUACAACGUCGAGUUGGCUUAGGGAUACGUUCGUUGGGUAGGGGAGCGUUCUGUAAGCCUGUGAAGGUGGCCUGUGAGGGUUGCUGGAGGUAUCAGAAGUGCGAAUGCUGACAUAAGUAACGAUAAAGCGGGUGAAAAGCCCGCUCGCCGGAAGACCAAGGGUUCCUGUCCAACGUUAAUCGGGGCAGGGUGAGUCGACCCCUAAGGCGAGGCCGAAAGGCGUAGUCGAUGGGAAACGGGUUAAUAUUCCCGUACUUGGUGUUACUGCGAAGGGGGGACGGAGAAGGCUAUGUUGGCCGGGCGACGGUUGUCCCGGUUUAAGCGUGUAGGCUGGUUUUCCAGGCAAAUCCGGAAAAUCAAGGCUGAGGCGUGAUGACGAGGCACUACGGUGCUGAAGCAACAAAUGCCCUGCUUCCAGGAAAAGCCUCUAAGCAUCAGGUAACAUCAAAUCGUACCCCAAACCGACACAGGUGGUCAGGUAGAGAAUACCAAGGCGCUUGAGAGAACUCGGGUGAAGGAACUAGGCAAAAUGGUGCCGUAACUUCGGGAGAAGGCACGCUGACACGUAGGUGAAGUGGUUUACCCAUGGAGCUGAAGUCAGUCGAAGAUACCAGCUGGCUGCAACUGUUUAUUAAAAACACAGCACUGUGCAAACACGAAAGUGGACGUAUACGGUGUGACGCCUGCCCGGUGCCGGAAGGUUAAUUGAUGGGGUCAGCGCAAGCGAAGCUCCUGAUCGAAGCCCCGGUAAACGGCGGCCGUAACUAUAACGGUCCUAAGGUAGCGAAAUUCCUUGUCGGGUAAGUUCCGACCUGCACGAAUGGCGUAAUGAUGGCCAGGCUGUCUCCACCCGGGACUCAGUGAAAUUGAACUCGCUGUGAAGAUGCAGUGUACCCGCGGCAAGACGGAAAGACCCCGUGAACCUUUACUAUAGCUUGACACUGAACAUUGAGCCUUGAUGUGCAGGAUAGGUGGGAGGCUUUGAAGUGUGGACGCCAGUCUGCAUGGAGCCGGCCUUGAAAUACCACCCUUUAAUGUUUGAUGUUCUAACGUGGACCCGUAAUCCGGGUUGCGGACAGUGUCUGGUGGGUAGUUUGACUGGGGCGGUCUCCUCCUAAAGAGUAACGGAGGAGCACGAAGGUUGGCUAAUCCUGGUCGGACAUCAGGAGGUUAGUGCAAUGGCAUAAGCCAGCUUGACUGCGAGCGUGACGGCGCGAGCAGGUGCGAAAGCAGGUCAUAGUGAUCCGGUGGUUCUGAAUGGAAGGGCCAUCGCUCAACGGAUAAAAGGUACUCCGGGGAUAACAGGCUGAUACCGCCCAAGAGUUCAUAUCGACGGCGGUGUUUGGCACCUCGAUGUCGGCUCAUCACAUCCUGGGGCUGAAGUAGGUCCCAAGGGUAUGGCUGUUCGCCAUUUAAAGUGGUACGCGAGCUGGGUUUAGAACGUCGUGAGACAGUUCGGUCCCUAUCUGCCGUGGGCGCUGGAAGAUUGAGGGGGCUGCUCCUAGUACGAGAGGACCGGAGUGGACGCAUCACUGGUGUUCGGGUUGUCAUGCCAAUGGCACUGCCCGGUAGCUACAUGCGGAAGAGAUAAGUGCUGAAAGCAUCUAAGCACGAAACUUGCCCCGAGAUGAAUCUUCCCUGAGCCUUUAAGGCUCCUGAAGGAACGUUGAAGACGACGACGUUGAUAGGCCGGGUGUGUAAGCGCAGCGAUGCGUUGAGCUAACCGGUACUAAUGAACCGUGAGGCUUAACCUUACAACGCCGAAG